UGGUGGAGUGAUUUGUCUGGUUAAUUCCGUUAACGAACGAGACCUCGACUUACUAAAUAGUUUAAAUCAUUUUUCGAAAUGUUUAUAAGCUUCUUAGAAGGACUAUUGGCGCGUAGCCAGUGGAAGUUCGAGGCAAUAACA
rnacentral:rRNA from 1 species